CAAAGGGCAGCGAAACCGCGAGGUUAAGCCAAUCCCACAAAUCUGUUCUCAGUUCGGAUCGCAGUCUGCAACUCGACUGCGUGAAGCUGGAAUCGCUAGUAAUCGCGGAUCAGCAUGCCGCGGUGAAUACGUUCCCGGGCCUUGUACACACCGCCCGUCACACCACGAGAGUUUGUAACACCCGAAGUCGGUGCGGUAACCUUUAUGGAGCCAGCCGCCGAAGGUGGGACAGAUGAUUGGGGUGAAGUCGUAACAAGGUAGCCGUAUCGGAAGGUGCGGCUGGAUCACCUCCUUUCUAAGGA
rnacentral:rRNA from 1 species